rnacentral:rRNA from 1 species
UUUAUUGGAGAGUUUGAUCCUGGCUCAGGAUGAACGCUGGCGGCGUGCCUAAUACAUGCAAGUCGAGCGAAUGGAUUGAGAGCUUGCUCUCAAGAAGUUAGCGGCGGACGGGUGAGUAACACGUGGGUAACCUGCCCAUAAGACUGGGAUAACUCCGGGAAACCGGGGCUAAUACCGGAUAAUAUUUUGAACUGCAUGGUUCGAAAUUGAAAGGCGGCUU